rnacentral:rRNA from 1 species
UAAAGCGGGUGAAAAGCCCGCUCGCCGGAAGACCAAGGGUUCCUGUCCAACGUUAAUCGGGGCAGGGUGAGUCGACCCCUAAGGCGAGGCCGAAAGGCGUAGUCGAUGGGAAACAGGUUAAUAUUCCUGUACUUGGUGUUACUGCGAAGGGGGGACGGAGAAGGCUAUGUUGGCCGGGCGACGGUUGUCCCGGUUUAAGCGUGUAGGCUGGUUUUCCAGGCAAAUCCGGAAAAUCAAGGCUGAGGCGUGAUGACGAGGCACUACGGUGCUGAAGCAACAAAUGCCCUGCUUCCAGGAAAAGCCUCUAAGCAUCAGGUAACAUCAAAUCGUACCCCAAACCGACACAGGUGGUCAGGUAGAGAAUACCAAGGCGCUUGAGAGAACUCGGGUGAAGGAACUAGGCAAAAUGGUGCCGUAACUUCGGGAGAAGGCACGCUGAUAUGUAGGUGAAGCGACUUGCUCGUGGAGCUGAAAUCAGUCGAAGAUACCAGCUGGCUGCAACUGUUUAUUAAAAACACAGCACUGUGCAAACACGAAAGUGGACGUAUACGGUGUGACGCCUGCCCGGUGCCGGAAGGUUAAUUGAUGGGGUUAGCGGUAACGCGAAGCUCUUGAUCGAAGCCCCGGUAAACGGCGGCCGUAACUAUAACGGUCCUAAGGUAGCGAAAUUCCUUGUCGGGUAAGUUCCGACCUGCACGAAUGGCGUAAUGAUGGCCAGGCUGUCUCCACCCGAGACUCAGUGAAAUUGAACUCGCUGUGAAGAUGCAGUGUACCCGCGGCAAGACGGAAAGACCCCGUGAACCUUUACUAUAGCUUGACACUGAACAUUGAGCCUUGAUGUGUAGGAUAGGUGGGAGGCUUUGAAGUGUGGACGCCAGUCUGCAUGGAGCCGACCUUGAAAUACCACCCUUUAAUGUUUGAUGUUCUAACGUUGGCCCCUAAUCGGGGUUGCGGACAGUGUCUGGUGGGUAGUUUGACUGGGGCGGUCUCCUCCUAAAGAGUAACGGAGGAGCACGAAGGUUGGCUAAUCCUGGUCGGACAUCAGGAGGUUAGUGCAAUGGCAUAAGCCAGCUUGACUGCGAGCGUGACGGCGCGAGCAGGUGCGAAAGCAGGUCAUAGUGAUCCGGUGGUUCUGAAUGGAAGGGCCAUCGCUCAACGGAUAAAAGGUACUCCGGGGAUAACAGGCUGAUACCGCCCAAGAGUUCAUAUCGACGGCGGUGUUUGGCACCUCGAUGUCGGCUCAUCACAUCCUGGGGCUGAAGUAGGUCCCAAGGGUAUGGCUGUUCGCCAUUUAAAGUGGUACGCGAGCUGGGUUUAGAACGUCGUGAGACAGUUCGGUCCCUAUCUGCCGUGGGCGCUGGAGAACUGAGGGGGGCUGCUCCUAGUACGAGAGGACCGGAGUGGACGCAUCACUGGUGUUCGGGUUGUCAUGCCAAUGGCACUGCCCGGUAGCUAAAUGCGGAAGAGAUAAGUGCUGAAAGCAUCUAAGCACGAAACUUGCCCCG